AUGGCGUUCGUGCCGAUCUGCGUGCAGUGCGGGACGAGGAGCAACCCGUGCCGGUGCAAGGUGGUCGGCCCGACGCUGGGAUUCGUGGCGCUCGUCGUGGCCGGAGUGGUGGAGUGGCCGCUGGGUGCUGCCGUGUACCUUUUCCGCCACCGCAAGGGCCGCCGCAUCAUGGGUCACCCGGCCAGGGUCGUGUACCCUCGCGUCACCGGCGCAAUCCCCAUCUAA
rnacentral:rRNA from 1 species